UACGGAGGGUGCGAGCGUUGUUCGGAAUCACUGGGCGUAAAGGGCGUGUAGGCGGUCCGCUAAGUCUGAUGUGAAAGCCCGGGGCUCACCCCCGGAAGUGCAUUGGAAACUGGCGGACUCGAGUCCCGGAGAGGAGAGUGGAAUUCCUGGUGUAGCGGUGAAAUGCGUAGAUAUCAGGAGGAACACCGGUGGCGAAGGCGGCUCUCUGGACGGUGACUGACGCUGAGACGCGAAAGCGUGGGGAGCGAACAGG
rnacentral:rRNA from 1 species